GAUGAACGCUGGCGGCAGGCUUAACACAUGCAAGUCGAGCGGGCACUUCGGUGUCAGCGGCAGACGGGUGAGUAACGCGUGGGAACGUGCCCUUCGGUUCGGAAUAACUCAGGGAAACUUGAGCUAAUACCGGAUACGCCCUUUUGGGGAAAGGUUUACUGCCGAAGGAUCGGCCCGCGUCUGAUUAGCUUGUUGGUGAGGUUACGGCUCACCAAGGCGACGAUCAGUAGCUGGUCUGAGAGGAUGAUCAGCCACACUGGGACUGAGACACGGCCCAGACUCCUACGGGAGGCAGCAGUGGGGAAUAUUGGACAAUGGGGGCAACCCUGAUCCAGCCAUGCCGCGUGAGUGAUGACGGCCUUAGGGUUGUAAAGCUCUUUUCUCCGGGACGAUAAUGACGGUACCGGAGGAAUAAGCCCCGGCUAACUUCAUGCCAGCCGCCGCCGUAAAAC
rnacentral:rRNA from 1 species